rnacentral:rRNA from 1 species
CCUACGGGGGGCAGCAGUGGGGAAUAUUGGACAAUGGGGGCAACCCUGAUCCAGCCAUGCCGCGUGCGUGAAGAAGGCCCUCGGGUUGUAAAGCACUUUCAGUGAGGAAGAACGCCUGGUGGUUAAUACCCAUCAGGAAAGACAUCACUCACAGAAGAAGCACCGGCUAACUCCGUGCCAGCAGCCGCGGUAAUACGGAGGGUGCGAGCGUUAAUCGGAAUUACUGGGCGUAAAGCGCGCGUAGGUGGCUUGAUAAGCCGGUUGUGAAAGCCCCGGGCUCAACCUGGGAACGGCAUCCGGAACUGUCAAGCUAGAGUGCAGGAGAGGAAGGUAGAAUUCCCGGUGUAGCGGUGAAAUGCGUAGAGAUCGGGAGGAAUACCAGUGGCGAAGGCGGCCUUCUGGACUGACACUGACACUGAGGUGCGAAAGCGUGGGUAGCAAACAGGAUUAGAUACCCCUGUAGUC